GGGGGACGAAUGGUGGAAUGAGCGGCGGACGGGUGAGUAACACGUAAAGAACCUGCCCAUAGGUCUGGGAUAACCACGAGAAAUCGGGGCUAAUACCGGAUGUGUCAUCGGACCGCAUGGUCCGUUGAUGAAAGGCGCUUCGGCGUCGCCCAUGGAUGGCUUUGCGGUGCAUUAGCUAGUUGGUGGGGUAACGGCCCACCAAGGCGACGAUGCAUAGCCGACCUGAGAGGGUGAUCGGCCACACUGGGAAUGAGACACGGCCCAGACUCCUACGGGAGGCAGCAGUAGGGAAUCUUCCACAAUGGACGAAAGUCUGAUGGAGCAACGCCGCGUGAACGAUGAAGGCUUUCGGGUCGUAAAGUUCUGUUGUAAGGGAAGAACAAGUGCCGCAGGCAAUGGCGGCACUGAC
rnacentral:rRNA from 1 species